AUGUUUAACUCUGGAAAAUCCGAGCUGACCGCCAUCUUUUUUCCUCGGAGCCGAGCCGUCCAAGCAUCAAACCAAAGGAAGAGAGCAGCAGCUUUGCAGGGACUGCCAUGGUACAUGAAGGAAAAUCCUUCUACAUUGAUGAAGAGAUGUGAGGUAAGCAGCAAAAUGUUGUUUAAUGAUACAAAAACUAGUUCACAAUGGGCAUGGUUACACAUCAUUUCAGGCAUCCUCUGUGUGGAUACACUAUAUACAGUAGGUGGACAUCCAAAACGUCAUUUCUACCGCCGCUCGUACCGCCGCCGCGGCGUCUGCAAAGUGCAUUUGCAGCUUUUGACCGCUGAGUGGCGCUUUAAUCACAGGUUUUCAAACAAGCGCAUCAAAGCACAUUUUCGCAAAUAGACGUCAGCUUUGCCUCACCGAAGUGUUAUAUUUAAUUGCAGUCGGGGAAAAUGAAAGAAAAAAUAUUUAAUAUUCACAGAUGAAAGUUUAGUCCUUAUGAAGAUAUGUGCGUUUCUUAGAACGAAUUCAAGCAGGAUAAAUGUCUAAAAGCCUAUGAGCCUGUGCUUAUAUUUUCUCUACACCAUAUUUUAGAUUAGACACAUUUAAAUAGUGUGCAGUAUUAUUUAUAUAAUAUGAAUUAUGUGUUAUAUUAUUAAAAAGAAAAUGUGGUUUACUUUGCAUCGGAGCAUUAAAAGUGAUAGCCUAUUGUGAGCUAGGCUUGCGUGUUUUAUAAAUUAUUUUCUUUAUUUUAGUAAAACGUAGAAUUCACGUAUUGUGUUUUUGCAGGCAUCAAACCAAAGGAAGAGAGCAGCAGCUU
ensembl:lncRNA